AAAAAAAAAAAAAAAAACUAUCCUCUCUCAAAACCCUAUCCCUAACCCAUAUCAAUAAAAGUUUUUAAAAAUAAAUUUGAUAUUUUUUUUGAAAAACUUAUUAGAGAAUAGUAUUAUAUUUUUCAUAAAUUUUAAAUAAUAUAAAUUUAUAUUUGAGAGUAAAAUUAGUAUUAUAGUAUCCUAUAAUUUUUUUAGUUUAUACGAACCAAACAAUAAAAUGUAAAUAACUCAUUCCAAUUCCCAAUCCACAAAUAAACCAAACGUCUUGGGGGAGUGGGCCAUUCCAAUUAUCAUUUCAAUUAAUUCCCAUUCCAUUAUCCAUUCCAAUUCUACCCUUGAACCAAACAAGCCCUAAAUGAAACAUGAUCCCAAACCAAGUAUAAGAAUGCUAACCAUA
rnacentral:lncRNA from 1 species